AUUGAACGCUGGCGGCAUGCCUUACACAUGCAAGUCGAACGGCAGCACGGGAGCAAUCCUGGUGGCGAGUGGCGAACGGGUGAGUAAAGUAUCGGAACGUGCCCAGUCGUGGGGGAUAACGUAGCGAAAGCUACGCUAAUACCGCAUACGAUCUAUGGAUGAAAGCGGGGGAUCGCAAGACCUCGCGCGAUUGGAGCGGCCGAUAUCAGAUUAGGUAGUUGGUGGGGUAAAGGCCCACCAAGCCGACGAUCUGUAGCUGGUCUGAGAGGACGACCAGCCACACUGGGACUGAGACACGGCCCAGACUCCUACGGGAGGCAGCAGUGGGGAAUUUUGGACAAUGGGCGCAAGCCUGAUCCAGCAAUGCCGCGUGCAGGAUGAAGGCCUUCGGGUUGUAAACUGCUUUUGUACGGAGCGAAAAGGCUCUCUCUAAUACAGGGGGCUCAUGACGGUACCGUAAGAAUAAGCACCGGCUAACUACGUGCCAGCAGCCGCCGUAAAAC
rnacentral:rRNA from 1 species